rnacentral:rRNA from 1 species
UACGGGGGGGACGAGCGUUGUUCGGAUUUACUGGGCGUAAAGGGCGCGUAGGCGGGCCUUCAAGUCGGGUGUGAAAACUGGUAGCUUAACUACCAGCCUGCAUUCGAUACUGUCGGUCUUGAGUACAGUAGAGGAAAGCGGAAUUCCAGGUGUAGCGGUGAAAUGCGUAGAUAUCUGGAAGAACACCAGUAGCGAAGGCGGCUUUCUGGGCUGAUACUGACGCUAAAGCGCGAAGGCUUGGGUAGCAAACAGG